rnacentral:rRNA from 1 species
GACAGGUGCUGCAUGGCUGUCGUCAGCUCGUGUUGUGAAAUGUUGGGUUAAGUCCCGCAACGAGCGCAACCCUUAUCCUUUGUUGCCAGCGAUUCGGUCGGGAACUCAAAGGAGACUGCCGGUGAUAAACCGGAGGAAGGUGGGGAUGACGUCAAGUCAUCAUGGCCCUUACGAGUAGGGCUACACACGUGCUACAAUGGCGCAUACAAAGAGAAGCGACCUCGCGAGAGCAAGCGGACCUCACAAAGUGCGUCGUAGUCCGGAUCGGAGUCUGCAACUCGACUCCGUGAAGUCGGAAUCGCUAGUAAUCGUGGAUCAGAAUGCCACGGUGAAUACGUUCCCGGGCC